rnacentral:rRNA from 1 species
UACGGAGGGGGCUAGCGUUGUUCGGAAUUACUGGGCGUAAAGGGCACGUAGGCUGGCUGUUAAGUCGGUGGUGAAAUGCUGAGGCUCAACCUCAGAAUUGCCUUCGAUACUGACGGUCUUGAGUGCGGGAGAGGUGAGUGGAAUUCCCAGUGUAGAGGUGAAAUUCGUAGAUAUUGGGAAGAACACCAGUGGCGAAGGCGGCGUUCUGGACUGCAACUGACACUGAGGAACGAAAGCCAGGGGAGCAAACGGG